rnacentral:rRNA from 1 species
GGGGCGUGACGCGAUGCUAAACAUGCAAGUCCGAACGAUGAUCCGGUUUCGGCCGGUGAUUAGUGGCGAACGGGUGAGUAACACGUGGGUAAUCUGCCCUGCACUCUGGGAUAAGCCCGGGAAACUGGGUCUAAUACCGGAUAUGACCUUCGGUCGCAUGAUCGUUGGUGGAAAGCUUUUGCGGUGUGGGAUGGGCCCGCGGCCUAUCAGCUUGUUGGUGGGGUGAUGGCCUACCAAGGCGACGACGGGUAGCCGGCCUGAGAGGGUGACCGGCCACACUGGGACUGAGACACGGCCCAGACUCCUACGGGAGGCAGCAGUGGGGAAUAUUGCACAAUGGGCGCAAGCCUGAUGCAGCGACGCCGCGUGAGGGAUGACGGCCUUCGGGUUGUAAACCUCUUUCAGCAGGGAAGAAGCGCAAGUGACGGUACCUGCAGAAGAAGCACCGGCUAACUACGUGCCAGCAGCCGCGGUAAUACGUAGGGUGCAAGCGUUGUCCGGAAUUAUUGGGCGUAAAGAGCUCGUAGGCGGCUUGUCGCGUCGGUUGUGAAAGCCCGGGGCUUAACCCUGGGUCUGCAGUCGAUACGGGCAGGCUAGAGUUCGGUAGGGGAGACUGGAAUUCCUGGUGUAGCGGUGAAAUGCGCAGAUAUCAGGAGGAACACCGGUGGCGAAGGCGGGUCUCUGGGCCGAUACUGACGCUGAGGAGCGAAAGCGUGGGGAGGCAAACAGAGACGAUG